CAAGUAUAAAAAAGCGAACCAAAGACAGUAGGGAGGUAACUUUAAUAAUCCUACCGAGGGGAGACUUAAAAAACUUCUUUUUUAAGCUUCCCAAAAGGAAGCUUUUUUAAAUAUUUAA
rfam:Mycoplasma sp. CAG:776 genomic scaffold, scf14